CCUUGCCUACAAUGAUUUUAAUUCUUCCAAAAUUCCAUCCGAGUUCGGUCGGUUUACAAGCCUAUUCUACCUCAACCUUUCCAAUACAUGGUUUUCAGAAGUCCCAUCCCAAGUCUCCCACCUGUCAAAAUUGGUUUCACUUGAUCUUUCUGGGUUUGAUGAACUAUUAACAAUUGACAAAUAUGCUCUGGAGGGUCUUGUUCACAACCUAACCGAGGUCAGACGUCUGUUUUUGGAUGAAAUGGACAUGUCUUCAGUUAAUGCUCAUGUCUUCAUGAAUCUAUCCUCUUCUCUAAGGUCUCUCAGUCUUGUUGGUUGUGAUUUGCAAGGAAAAUUCCCAAAAAACAUUUUUGAUUUGCCAAACCUCAAUCUCCUCAACUUGGGAGGCAACCAAAACCUCAAUCUUGAUCCUUUGAAGUUCAAUCGGAGCAGCAAUCUUGAACAAUUGAUAAUUUCAGACGCAAAUAUUUGUGGAGGAUUGCCUGACUCGAUGGGGAAUCUUGUGUCCUUGAAGUUUUUAGUUCUCUCCCAUUCCAACUUAUCAGGACUGGUUCCAAGAUCACUGGGGAAUCUCUUGAAACUCACUCAUUUAGACUUGUCGGAGAACCAAUUGAGUGGACAAAUUCCAAGAAAAUUGGGGAACCUCUUGCAACUCACUCAUUUAGACUUGUCGAAGAACCAAUUGAGUGGACAAAUUCCAAGAUCAUUAGGGAACCUCUUGCAACUCACUCAUUUAGACUUGUGGCUGAACCAAUUGAGUGGACAGAUUCCAAGAUCAUUGGGGAACCUCUUGCAACUCACUGUUUUAGACUUGGGAUGGAACAAAUUGAGUGGACAAAUUCCAUUGUCAAUUCUAAACCUAACGCAGCUGGAAUACUUGACAAUAUCUAACAAUUCUUUAGAAGGUUCCAUUCCAGAUGAGGUAACCGCUUUUCAUAAUCUAAUAUAUUUAGACUUAUCUGACAAUUUACUCAAUGGAACACUGCCGUCAUGGUUGUAUACUGCUCCCUCCUUAAAGACAAUAUAUCUCUCUCAAAAUCAAUUCAGUGGGCAUAUCAAAGAAUUCCAAUCCAAAUCACUAGAAUGGAUAUGGUUAGAGAAUAAUAAACUCCAAGGUCCUCUUCCAUCUUCAAUAUUCCAACUUCUCAAUCUUACCCAACUUAGCUUAUCCUCAAAUUAUCUUAGUGGUGUCAUAGAGUUUCGCAUGUUCUCAAACCUUCCAAAUCUCGAAUAUCUUGACCUUUCAUAUAACAGCCUAUCCUUAACAUCUAAUACAACUUCUACUGUUAAUCUUACAAGCUUAUUUUUGUCAUCUUGCAAUCUUAGUGAAUUCCCCCAAUUUUUAAAAGGGCUUAAAAGUUUGGAAAGCUUAGACCUCUCUUGCAACAAAAUUGAAGGCAAGAUUCCACAGUGGAUGCGAGAGGUGGGGAAUGGCUCUUUGACUCACUUAAAUGUAUCUCACAACACUUUGACAGAAGUUGAGCACUUUCCAUGGAAGAAUAUUGAUGUUCUUGACUUAAGCUCCAAUUUGAUCAGUGGAAAUCUUCCGAUUCCAGCUUCGACCAUAAGAGUCUUUUUGAUCUCAAAUAAUAGUUUCAAUGGAGAGGUCUCUUCUUUAAUAUGCAAUGCCGCUUUUCUUGAAAUUCUUGAUUUGUCCCACAAUAACUUGAGUGGAACAAUUCCACAAUGUUUUGGAAAUUUGAGCAACAGCCUUCUAUUCUUGAAUCUGAAGAAGAACAAGUUUUAUGGGACGAUUCCUCCAGCAUUUGCAAAGGGAUGCCGAUUGAGUAAUUUCAACUUAAAUGGAAAUCUGUUAGAAGGGCCUUUGACACCAUCCAUGAUCCAUCCUUAAUUGUAAUGGUCUGGAAGUGCUAGAUCUUGGUAACAACAAGAUCAAUGAUACAUUUCCUCAUUGGUUGGGAAGUCUUCCACAGCUACAAGUUCUUGUAUUGAAGUCAAAUCAACUGCAUGGUUCCUUAUGUGUCAAUAGCUCCAAGUCUAUCCCUUUUUUCUCUAAAAUCCAAAUUUUUGAUCUCUCAAGUAAUUAUUUUUCUGGACCCCUACCAGUGAGAUACAUCAACAGCUUCAAGGCUAUCAUAAAUCUAGAGAAGAUUGGGAGUACAAUGUCGUACAUGGGGGUGUAUGCUCAGAGAGGUAGUGCCUUCUAUACCCAUUCCAUUGGAAUUGUUAUGAAAGGACAAGAUAGGGAAUUGGUGAAAAUUUUCACCAUGUGGAUGAUCAUUGAUCUAUCAAACAAUCAGUUUCAAGGGGGUAUUCCAAAGGUUAUUGUGAAGCUUAACUUGCUGAAAGGGCUCAACCUUUCUCAUAAUAACCUUAAUGGUGGUAUCCCCACCUCAAUAGGGAAUUUGACAAGUCUUGAAUGGUUAGACCUAUCUUCAAACAGUUUGUCUGGGACGAUUCCAAAUAGAUUGGCAGAUCUGCCAUUUCUUUCGUCCUUCAAUGUUUCUGAAAAUCAACUCCAUUGUCAGAUUCCUCAAGGCAAACAGUUCAACACAUUUGGAAAUGAUUCAUAUGAAGGAAACAAGGGAUUAUGUGGAUUUCCGGUCUCAAAAGGUUGCAACAUCAUUGAGCCAGCACCUCUAAAUGUGCUUGAAAAAGAUGGCUCAAAAUCAAACAUUACUUUUGGUUGGAAAGUGGUGUUGAUAGGUUAUGGAUGCGGAGUGGUGUUCGGAAUGUCCGUGGGAUAUGUUGUUUUCCAAACUGGUAAGCCGAAAUGGUUGGUGAAUUUGGUUGAAAUCCAACAUGAGAAGAAGCGAAGAAGAAAGUCAAAGGAUGGCAGUCGCAGCAAUGGAUGAAGAAGGAUCUAGUUAGUGGAAAUGAUGUUCAAGUGUUGAUGUUGUAUCUUCAUAAUUUCUUGUUUUGAAGUCUUUCAAUUUUUUUCCUAUGGUGAAAGGUUGCAUUGCCAUGCAUCUGUCUUUACUUUUGUAACAAUUCAUCUGUCAUAAUAUUAUAGAUUUUAUUGAUUUUAAUUUUUUCUCUAAUUUUUAAUAAAAAUAGGGGCAUAAUUGCUUUUUUUUUUUAAGUUUGAGAGUAUUUUUUAUGCAUUUUGAAAGUUCAAGUACCAAAUUGAGUGCAAAAAAAAAAAGAGUAGGGGCUUAAUUACUUUUUUUGAAAAUGUUUGAGAGCUUUUUUGAUGUAUCAAAUGAAAUACAAAUUUUGAGUAAAUCAACUAUUCAUUUUUAUGAAUAAAAAUUAUAUGGUAAAAAGGAAGUAGUGUUAAUAAUAAUAAAAAAGAUCAACAAUAGAAAACUAAUAAAGCAAUUUAGCCUAUGAUCUGCGCAAUAUAUUACUACAAAUGUACUGUACAAAAUAUUGAAGAAAACUAAUAAAGAAAUCUGAAAUUUUAACAAGUUCCGCAAAUAAUGUUUAUGAUUUGCUGUAAAUUGAUAUGUCAAAUUAGGCUCUCCAUCACACUUAAAAGUUUAUUUUCGAGCAAUUUAGAUAUCUUUGUUGCGUUUUUAUUUUGUUUUAGUUGUUUAUAUUAAUAAAUGAUUAGUGUGCAUUUUGAUGCUAUUUUAAGACCUGAGAUGGCCAAAUGGCACCCGGGGAAUCUAAUGAGGUUGGUGAGUGAUGCAGAGAGCCCAUGGUGGCCCGGAAGGAACGAAAAUGUUACCUAGAAAGAGGGUAUCGCAUUUCAAAGCAUGAAAGUCGUAAUACCCAUAACAAUGUUAAAAACAAGGAAGAUUGAGCCAUCAACAAUGUUAUCGUGAUACCGGUCAUAAGAUAUCGCGAUACCCAAAACUUCCAAGGAUCCCCCAAGACUGUUGUGGAUAUCGCGAUACCAAACUUUGGGUAUCGCAAUAUCAUUGAUGAGAGGAGACAAAAUAUAACUGUAGGGGUAAUCCUUUUCCAACAUGUGGAAUGGCCAUGGGAUGUGUUGUUUUCCAAACCGGUAAGGCGAAAAGGUUCGUGAAUUUGGCUGAAGACCAACAUGAGAAGAGGCGAAGAAGAAAGCCAAAAUAUAGCAAUCGCAUCAAUGGAUGAAGAAGGAUCUAGUUGGUUCAAAUGAAGUUAAAGCAUUUGUGCUGUGUCUUCAUAAUUUCUUGUUUAGUAGUCUGUCAGAAAGUUUUUCCUAUGGUGAAAAGUUGCAUUGCUAUGUGUCUGUUUUUAUGAUUGUACCAAUUCCUCUGUAUUUCAUUGCAUUUCGUACUAUUUGUAAGGGUUUAGUUCAGUGUAACAUCUUGUAUGGUGCAACUAUGUAUGUCUUCUUUCUUGAAUUUCAACUUUUAGUAAACAUUAUACUGCUCACCAUAAAAAAAAUACAUGUAGAAUUACAAAAGAUUCAAUUAUUCAAGUUUGAGUUGCAUUUAUAAACAUGUGAUGAUGAGAAUUCAUGAACAAAAGGUAUGGUUUGAGCCCUUUUGCAAUAUGCGUUUAUGUUGCAUUUACCUAUAUAUCUAUCGACAAAUUUAAGAGUAAUAUUUACAAUAGCAUUGCAGAGUAACAUAUUUACGAUUGGAUUACACAGUCAAAAGAUUGCAGCAACGAUGAGAUUAAUCCAAUUACAGGAAUUGAUAUCCUAAAUGGCUUUUAGGUACGUAGCUUCAUUGACGGUACAAACUAGUUAAAAUUUCCAGAAUUCAUGUCUUUGUUUUCCCUCAAGUAAACGUAGUCAAUACUGCAAAUGGUGUGGAAGUAUUGUACAUUGUGGCCCAAAUGUCCAAAAUUUCCACAUUGCUUGUAAAUUAAGUGAUGAAAACCAAAACUGUUUGAGGCAUCCAAUUACCCACAGAGAUAGGAAGUAAGGACGCAUGUAUAAUUAUUAUCAUUAAUUAAAGCAUAUAUAAUUACAUUAAAUAUAGGAUAAACUAUAAAAAUAAUCACUUUUAUUUACCUCAUAUUACAUUUUAGUCACUUAUGUUUGAAAUGUUACAUUUUGGUCACUUACGUUAUCGUUUUGGUACGAAGUGGUCACUCUACCGUUAAGCUCCGUUACCUCCCUAACGGCGAUUCUACGUGAUAGUCCAAAUGAGUUUUAAAUGCCAACUUAAAUGUCUUGCGUGGCUGUCUAAAUUAAAUUUAUUUAAUUAAAAACUUAUUUUCAUCUCAACAACCGGACAUUCAAGUUCGCAUUUAAAACCCAUUUAGACUGCCACGUAGGACUGCCGAUAGGGAGGUAACAGAGUUUGAUAGUAGAGUAACCACUUCAUAACAAAACGAUAAUGUAAGUGGCUAAAACAUAACAUUUCAAACAUAAGUAAUUAAAAUAUAAUAUAAGGUAAACAAGCCUUAAAUAUAUAAAUUACUAUGAUUACUAUCAAGAUAGCAUUGACCUGUUCAACAGGCGGAACCAAUAGAUCUGACCAUUUGGUGACUCUAGCAGUCGAUAAGUGUGAGUGGCAGACUGUGCAACUUGUAACUAUGUUAAUUGAUGAAAAGCUUUUUGAUAGAAGAUAAUAAACUAGUGGCAAUGGCAAACGGUUCCAAGACGAGGUGGGACACCGAGGCUUUGUGUAACAGGGGAAUAGAUGCACUCAAUGCUGGCGGCUGUUGACUUGUAUUUCUCUCUAACAAUUUAAAUCACCAGCUUGCUUCAUCCAUCUAUAAAUAAGGGUCUUCUUCAGUUUCAUAAAUGCAUAGAAAAUUAACAAGCUCAAAUUCCUUCUUUUCAUAUUCAUCUCUUUUACUUUGAAUUGCAACUUUAUCCUGCCUAAAUUCCUCAACCAUGAACCACCCAUCAGGACAGCCUCAAAAUGAACUUCCUUGGUCCGCCGGAUUCUGCGAUUGUUGCUCUGACCUGAAAACUUGUAACCCUUUCUUCUUUCUUCAAUAUCAGUUCUGUCUUUUUAAUUAUAUGAAUUAGUUUAUCAAUUAAAUAUAUGGACAUUUCAGGUUGCAUUUCAUACUGGUGCCCAUCCAUCACCUUUGGCCAGAUUGCUGAGAUUGUUGAUAAAGGGUCGACUUGUAAGUUAUUAAUUUCUAAAUUGAAAUCUUAUCAUCUUAGGUUUUGCAGACAUAUAUAUAUUUAAAGAGAUAUUAUGUAAUUAAUAAUAAUGUUGAAAAACACUGUUGGAUGGUGCAGCAUGUCGGGCAAGUAGGGCACUAUACACAUUAAUAAUGUUCAUCACCGGGUGUGGGUGCUUAUAUUCUGGCUGCUACCGAUGCAAACUGAGAAAGCAGUAUAACUUGAAAGGAGGCGAUUGUGGCGAUUGCAUGCGUCAUUUCUGCUGCGAGCCUUGUGCCUUGACACAAGAGUAUCGUGAGCUCCAGAACCGUGGAUUCGACAUGUCUAUCGGUAUGUCUACAUACCAAUAUUAUACCCCUUUUAAUUAUUCUUAAUAUAACUUCAAGUAUAUUAAUUGAGUAGCUGUAAACAAAUAUCUCCGAAUAAAUAUGUUGGUAAUGAUGAGAUAAAUUAUUGUUUGAGGUCAUUAAUUUUGUGGGGGUAUAUUUAUAUAUGCAGGUUGGCAUGCAAAUGUGGAGAAGAACCCAGGGCUGGCAAUGGCUCCAGCGGUAGAAAAAGGCAUGAGCAAAUAGAUGAUGAUGAUGAUGAGACCACUGCAUUAAUAUCAUCUUUACAUGUAACACUUAAUUCCUUGGCUUUCCAUAAUUGGUUGAUUGUACGGCUUGCCAAUUGAAUUUCAAGUUAUGUAUGUUUGUGAUUGUCAAAUAUAUUAAUAAAAAGUGUUACUAUUCAUGUUAGAUCUUCAUGAAUAAGAAUGAGAAUCGAAAAUAACUUGUAAUAUUGUGUGUGCAUGUUUGGUAUUUAGGUGAAAUACUUAGAAAGAGAGGUUGGAUUAAAUUAAUUUUUUAUUAUCAAAAUGGAUGAUUUUAAUUUUUAUAUUAAUAAAAAGAAUUAAAUAAAAUUAAUAUUUAUUGUUUUAGAAAAUGACAUCAAAUUAUUGUUUUUUAUAGUUCAAUCCAAAUAAAAUAUCUACAAAAUCAUUAAAAACUUUUAAAAUGUGACUUUGUUAAAUAGUAAAUAGCAUUUUUUUAAAAGGGUUCAUAUAUAUCGUGAUACCUAAAGUUGGCAACUUCUACUUAGUAUCUAAAUCGGUACAUAAACUUGAAAAUUGUAAGUCAACUUCGUAUUUUUAUAAGUAUGAUGAUGUUGGUGUAGUGUGAGGAAGAAGACUUGAAUGGGUUUGAUUAUUUUUAAUAAUACAGGAAUUUACAUAUUAUAAGUAAAUAGACACUCACAUUCUUUAUGUAUUAUAAGGAAGAAGACUAAGUCGAUCUACUUUGUAAUCUCAUCAAUCUUAAUUUUCUCAAUUGUUAAGGGAGUUCAAAUGAAAUACAAAAUUUUGGUAAAAAAAAGUAUCCAAUUUUGUGAAUAAAAAAUAUAUGGUAAAAAAGAUUUGGUAUCGAUACUUCGGCGCGGGUAUCAAUACUCGAUACAUUGCUUUUGGUUGGAAAGUAGUGUCUGGAACGGCCAUGGGAUGUGUUGUUUUCCAAACCGGUAAGGCGAAAAGGUUUGUGAAUUUGGUUGAAGACCAACAUGAGAAGAGGCGAAGAAGAAAACCAAAAUAUAGCAAUCGCAUCAAUGGAUGAAGAAGGAUCUAGUUGGUGCAAAUGAAGUUAAAGCAUUUGUGCUGUGUCUUCAUAAUUUCUUGUUUAGUAGUCUGUCAGAAAGUUUUUCCUAUGGUGAAAAGUUGCAUUGGUAUGUGUCUGUCUUUAUGAUUGUACCAAUUCCUCUGUAUUUCAUUGCAUUUCGUACUAUUUGUAAGGGUUUAGUUCGAGUGUAACAUCUUGUAUGGUGCAACUAUGUAUGUCUUCUUUCUUGAUUAUUGAAAUUAUAAUCAAAAUUAAUACAUGUUCUUUUUAUUAGCUUAAGGGCGUAAAAACACUUCAAAAUUUUCAAAAAAUAAAAUAAAAUUUUAAGUCCCUCUUUUUUUUACACUCAAUUGAAAUUUUUAAAAUGUAUCAAAAAUAUCUUUACAGUUCUUCAAAAAAAAAAACAAUUAAACCCCUAUUUUUUUUCCGCUCAAUUGGGUACUUGAACUUUCAUAAUGCAUCAAAAAUGCCUUAAAUUUUUUUCAAAAAAGCAAUUAAGCCCCUACUCUUAUUAAAAAUUAGAAAAAAAUCAUAAAAAUAAUAAAUUUUAGAAAAAAUUAUUAAAUUUUAAUAAAAAUUUAAAAUUUUAUUAAAAAUUAGAAUUUUUUUUUAGAAAAAUCGUCAAAAAAUAAAAAAUUAUAAAAUCCAUCAAAAAGUUUUAACAAUUAACUUUAACUAUUGAUCGUUAAAGUUAACGACCUCUAGUUUUUUCAAUUAAAGUCAUUAUGUGUCGCAACUCAACGUGACAUGUAGCGAAAAUAGAUAAAAAAGUAAAAAUCAAUAAAAGUUAUAGAAAAAUUAUAAAAUAUUUCUUUUGGUAGAAUAAUUUUUAUAAAUUUUUUUUACAAAAUUUAUAUUUCUUUACAUUUUGUAUAAUUUUCUUAUAACUUUAUAAAAUUUUAUAAAUUUUUAUAUUUCUAUAUAUUUUAAAAUUUUUUAAAAUUUUUAUAAAAUUUUACAAUUUUUAUAUAUUUUUAAUAAAUUUUUAAUAUUUGAUUUUUUAUUAAAAUUUAAUAAUAUUAUAGAUUUUAUUGAUUUUAAUUUUUUAUCUAAUUUUUAAUAAAAUUAGGGGGUUAAUUGCUUUUUUUUUAAGUUUGAGGGUCUUUUUGAUGCAUUUUGAAAGUUCAAGUACCCAAUUGACUGCAAAACAAAAAGAAAAAAAGUAGGGGCUUAAUUGCUUUUUUUGAAAAUGUUUGAGGGCUUUUUUGAUGUAUUUUGAAAGUUCAAGUACCCAAAUGAGUGCAUAAAAAGAACAGGGGUUUAGUUGCUAUUUUGAAAAAGUUUGAGGGCUUUUUGCACCUUUAAACCUCUUUUCUUUUUCUAAAUUUAAUUUAGAACCAACUUUGUGUAAAGACUUGGGAAAUUUAAUUAGCAAAAUUUCUUUCCAUGUAAAAAUUUCCCCUAUUUCUUGUUUGAAUUUAAAGCAAUACAAUAUUUUUCUAGCAAAUAAUAGAAAAUGACAGUCAAUUAAUUCCAGCAAUACAACAUUUCCAGUCUGGUGGAAAACAGCUAGGGACCAAAUUUUUAAAGUGUUGUUUACUACACACUUAGGGACCAUAUAUGUAUAUAUAUAUAUUCCAGUCUGGGUCUUUGUCGUGUUUUGUUGGUUGGCUAUGGCCUUCUUGUUGUUUCAUGGCCACUGCCCGUGAAUUAAGUCAUAUGUGGCCUUGUUUGCUAGACCUUAGUUGCUAAGUUAAAGGGAGUGAAUAGAGCACCAUAUUUCUUCUUCUGCGUGGAAAAUAAGUUGGCAUUAUGCCAAAUUCCACAUUCAUACAUAGAAAGGAAGCAAGGCCAAGUCAUUAUACUUUGUAAUCUCAUCAAUUCUAAUUAUUUCACUUCUUCAUUCUUUAGGGAGUUCAAGUGAAAUACAAAUUUUUCCACAUCCAAUCUCAUAAAUAAUCCGUCUUUGAACUUUCACAAAAAAAUAUUAAAUACCCAUUCACUUUAAUUCUACUAUUCUUAAAUCAUUCAAGUUUUGUGGAAAAUAUGCUUCUUGGAUAAAAUUAUUCAACACACAUGCCUUGAAUUUUAUGCAAUAAAAUAAAUCAAUAUAGGCCACACAUGCUUUGAAUAUUUAAGUAGUCCACAAUUUUGUUCGUUUGUGUGCAAAAUUCUACAUUGCUUGACAGCCAUACAUUCUAAGUAAAUAGACACCCACAUUGUUUACGUAUUAUGAAGAAGAAGACUAAGUCAGUCUACUUUGUAAUCUCAUCAAUCUUAAUUUUCUCAGUUAUUUAGGGAGUUCAAAUGAAAUACAAAAUUUUGGGAAAAAAAAUGUAUCCAAUUUUGUGAAUGAAAAAUAUAUGGUAAAAAGGAUUUGGUAUGGAUACUUCGGCUCGGGUAUCAAUACUCAGGGUAAGUUUAUCGAUACAUUGCUUUUGGUUGGAAAGUGGUGUUGAUAGGUGAUGACUAAAAUUUGAUAAAUUUGAAAAGUACAUGAAAUUUAACGAUUAUUGUUUGGUGAUGACUAAAAUUUUAAAAUUUGAAAAGUACAUGAACUAAAAAUGACCAAAUUAAAGUAUAAAGAUUAAGUCCACAACUUUUGCAAAGUACAAGGACUAAUAGCAGAAAUUAACCUAAAUUUCAUAUGGGUCAAUUACAAAAAUAAUCACUAAACUAUUCCUUUGGUUCUAUUCUAGUCACUCAACUAUAGAGGUGCUCAUGGGCUGAGCCAGGUCAAGCCUAAGUAUGAUAUUAAUGUAUUUUAUACUUGCUCAAGCUUGGCUCGGCCUGAAAUAUGAGCUUAAAAUUUUGCCUGAACUCAUCCAUAUUUGCAAAAGACUAACCCAAGCUCAUUUUAAGCAUGCCUAUAUAAUUUUUAAUUUUUUUUAAAUAUUUAUAUUAUAUUAUAUUAAUUAAUAAUUUAAACAUUUUUUAUUUAUUAAAAUUUUUUAUAGUCAUUUUAACAUUAUUUUAAUGUUUACAUUAUAGUAUUAUUAUAUAUUUAGUAUAAGUAUUUUUUUAAUAUGUUCUAAUUUAUAUAAUAUAAAGUAUUAUACACUUAAAAACGGGCCGGGCUGGGCUUGAGCUUUAGUUGUUACUCAACUAUUAAUUUUUUCGAUUUAGUUGUUAACCUUUUCAAAAGUAAAUAUUUUAGUCAGUCUCCUAUUAGUUGUUGUUAAAUGAGUGACGGAAAGCUAAUGUGAGCUUUUUUUAUUAGUCUAAUAACAAAUUUAGCCCUCCAAUGUUUACACAUUCUAUCAAUUUGAUCGUAAAUAUAAAAAAAAAAUCAACAAAUUUAGCCCUGAAUAUUAACAAAACUUGUCAUUUUAGUUCAAAUUCUAAAAAAUUUAAUAAAUUUAACCUUUAAUAUUUUCAAAAAAAUAGCAAUUUAGUUCUAAUUCUAAAAAUUUUAAUAUAUAUAUUUAAAAAAAUAUUUCUAAUCCUCUGUCUCACCCUUUGAUUUUUUAGAUGAGCUAAAAUCAAAAUAUAUCAUUAUGUCUUUUUGUUUUAAUGCUAAAAGAGAUAAAAAAAAAUGGAAAGCUAAAAUGGCUUUUCGUUUGUGAAGUUACAAAAUGCCAAAUAAAUUAUUAUGUCUUUUUAGUUUUAAUUUUUUACUUGAUUAAAAGAGAAAUAAUUAACGAAUGAAAAAUAAUUAUUCACAAAUAAAUUUAUCAGAAUUUAUAACAAAUGAGAUUUUAAAUUUGAAUUUAUAAAUCAAAAUUUAUAUAUAUAUAUAUAUAAAAGAAAACACAUUUUUAUGAAAUAUAAGAUUUUGUUAAAAGAAAGAGCAUAUAAAAGCAUACACGUUUUUAUGAAAUACAAGAUUUUGCUAAAAGAAAAAGCAUCCAAUUUUAAGAAUGAAAAAUAUAUGGUAAAAGCAUCCAUAACUUUUCAAUAUAAAAGAAAAAAAAGACUAACACCAAUGUUGUGGUAUUAUUUGUUGCCUAUAAAUACCAUUCCUAUCCUUCUUCUUCCUCUACAAACAUAACAUGGCCCCCUAUCUCUUUCUCUGCCUAUUCCUCUUCUUUCCCCAUCUUUAUGCUUCUUUUCUUCUUCAGAAUCUCACUCCUGCUCUUCACUAAUCCAGUUUAAGGACUCUUUUUCCAUCACAAAGGAUGCUUCCUGGUAUUUCGAUUAUAUUACUGGCCUUAAAUCUUAUCCCAAGACAAAUUCAUGGAAGGAGGGUACAGAUUGCUGCUCAUGGGAUGGGGUCACUUGUGACCACCUAAAUGCUCAUGUUAUUGCCCUUGACUUGAGCUGCAGUUGGCUAUAUGGCACCUUCCCUUCCAAUACCACUCUCUUCCUUCUUCCUCACCUUCAAAAACUCAACCUUGCCUACAAUCAUUUUAAUUCUUCCAAAAUUCCAUCCGAGUUCGGUCGGUUUACAAGCCUAUUCUACCUCAACCUUUCCAAUACAUGGUUUUCAGAAGUCCCAUCCCAAGUCUCCCACCUGUCAAAAUUGGUUUCACUUGAUCUCUCCUCUCGGAUUGAUUACUCUGGGCAAGUUACAAUUGACAAACAUGCUCUGGAGGGACUUGUUCACAACCUAACCGAGGUCAGACAUCUGUUUUUGGAUGGAAUCAACAUGACUUCUGUUAAUGCUCAUGUCUUCAUGAAUCUAUCCUCUUCUCUAAGGUCUCUCAGUCUUGCUUUUUGUGAUUUGCAAGGAAAAUUCCCAAAAAACAUUUUUGAUUUGCAAAACCUCAAUCUCCUCAACUUGAGAUACAACCAAUUGAGUGGACAAAUUCCAAGAUCAUUGGGGAACCUCUUGCAACUCACUCAUUUACACUUGUCGGGGAACCAAUUGAGUGGACAAAUUCCAUUGUCAAUUCUAAACCUAACGCAGUUGGAAUACUUGGAAAUAUCUGAAAAUUCUUUAGAAGGUUCCAUUCCAGAUGAGGUAACCGCUUUUCCUAAUCUAAUAUAUUUAUACUUAUCUGACAAUUUACUCAAUGGAACACUUCCGUCAUGGUUGUAUACUGCUCCCUGCUUAAAGGAAAUAUAUCUCUCUCAAAAUCAAUUCAGUGGGCAUAUCAAAGAAUUCCAAACCAAAUCACUAGAAUAUUUAUAUCUAGAAAAUAAUAAACUCCAAGGUCCCCUUCCAUCUUCAAUAUUCCAACUUCUCAAUCUUACCGGGCUCCUUUUAUCCUCAAAUAAUCUUAGUGGUGUCAUAGAGUUGAGCAUGUUCUCAAACCUUCCAAAUCUCAAAUAUCUUGACCUUUCAUAUAACAGCCUAUCCUUAAUAUCUAAUACUACUUCUACUGUUAAUCAUAUAUUGCCUAAUCUUACAGGCUUACAUUUGUCAUCUUGCAAUCUUAGUGAAUUCCCCCAGUUUUUAAAAGGGCUUAAAAGUUUGGAAAGCUUAGACCUCUCUUGCAACAAAAUUGAAGGCAAGAUUCCACAGUGGAUGCAAGAGGUGGGGAAUGUCUCUUUGACUUACUUCAACGUAUCUCACAACUCUUUGACAGAAGUUGAGCACUUUCCAUGGAAGAAUAUUGAAAGUCUUGACUUAAGCUCCAAUUUGAUCAGUGGAAAUCUUCCGAUUCCAGCUUCGACCAUCAAUGUCUUUCUGAUCUCAAAUAAUAGUUUCAAUGGAGAGGUCUCUUCUUUAAUCUGCAAUGCCAGUGAUCUUGAAAUUCUUGAUUUGUCCCACAAUAACUUGAGUGGAACAAUUCCGCAAUGUUUUGGAAAUUUGAGCAACAGCCUUGAAUUCUUGAAUCUGAAGAAGAACAAGUUCUAUGGGACGAUUCCUCCAAAAUUUGCAAAGGGAUGCCGAUUGACUAAUUUCAACUUAAAUGGAAAUCUGUUAGAAGGGCCAUUGACUCCAUCCAUCCUUAAUUGUAGGGGUCUGGAAGUGCUAGAUCUUGGUAACAACAAGAUCAAUGAUACAUUUCCUCAUUGGUUGGGAAGUCUUCCACAGCUACAAGUUCUUGUAUUGAAGUCAAAUCAUAUGCAUGGUUCCUUAUGUGUCAAUAGCUCCAAGUCUAGCCCUUUUUUCUCUAAAAUCCAAAUUUUUGAUCUCUCAAGUAAUUAUUUUUCUGGACCCCUACCAGUGAGAUACAUCAACAGCUUCAAGGCUAUCAUAAAUCUAGAGAAGAUUGGUAGUACAGUGUCGUACAUGGGGGUGAAUGAUGGCUUCUAUACCUAUUCCAUUGGAAUUGUUAUAAAAGGACAAUAUAUGGAAUUGGUGAAAAUUUUCACCAUGUGGAUGAUCAUUGAUCUAUCAAACAAUCAGUUUGAAGGGGGUAUUCCAGAGGUUUUUGGGAAGCUUAACUUACUGAAAGGGCUCAACCUUUCUCAUAAUAACCUUAAUGGUGGUAUCCCCACCUUAAUAGGGAAUUUGACAAGUCUUGAAUGGUUGGACCUAUCUUCAAACAGGUUGUCUGGGACGAUUCCAAAUAGAUUGGCAGAUCUGCCAUUUCUUUCGUCCUUCAAUGUUUCUGAAAAUCAACUCCAUGGUCAGAUUCCUCAAGGCAAACAGUUCAACACAUUUGGAAAUGAUUCAUAUGAAGGAAACAAGGCAUUAUGUGGAUUUCCGGUCUCAAAAGGUUGCAACAUCAUUGAGCCAGCACCUCCAAAUGUGCUUGAAAAAGAUGGCUCAAAAUCAAACAUUACUUUUGGUUGGAAAGUGGUGUUGAUAGGUUAUGGAUGCGGAGUGGUGUUCGGAAUGUCCGUGGGAUAUGUUGUUUUCCAAACUGGUAAGCCGAAAUGGUUGGUGAAUUUGGUUGAAAUCCAACAUGAGAAGAAGCGAAGAAGAAAGUCAAAGGAUGGCAGUCGCAGCAAUGGACGAAGAAGAAUCUAGUUAGUGGAAAUGAUGUUCAAGUGUUGAUGUUGUAUCUUCAUAAUUUCUUGUUUUGAAGUCUGUCAAAUUUUUUUCCUAUCGUGAAAGGCUGCAUUGCCAUGCAUCUGUCUUUUUUAUUGUAACCAUUCAUCUAUAUUUCAUUGCAUUACGUAGUAUUUGUAAGGGUUUGUUUUAAAUGUAACAUUUUGUAUGGUUCAACUAUUUAUGUCUCUUUCAUGAGUUUCAUUUUUGAGUCUCAAUAAUCUCUGCAUUCAAGAUUUUGUCAGCUUAUUAAUUGGUGGAUCAAUAAUCUUCAUGCUCAUCUCAUCAUCUUUUUCUCGAGUUAAACACAGUCACUACUAUAAUAAUUUCUUCUGUGUGGAAAAUAAUUUGGCAUUCUGCAAAUUUCCACAAUGCUUGUGGAUUACCUCUGGUUGACGGCUAUACAUAUAAAGGAAGGAAACAAGACUAUGUCAAAAUUUCCAAAAAUCAGUCAUUCAUUUUUGAACAAUUAAACAUUCGUAUUCUAUUUUUCAAAAUUGUAAAUCCUCAAAUAAUGUAAAUUAGUCCUAAAACUCAAGUUUUGAAAUCUUUACAAUUUAACCCCUUAUAGUUUCAAACUUUACUAUUUUAUGCUCAACUUUCUAAAUCUUCAUAUUUCAUGAUCAUAUAAUUUAGUUAUUACAUCAAUAUUUCAGAUUUCACUACUCAAACCCUUACUUCAUUUUGGUCCUUACUUCAAUUUUAUCAAAUUAAAUCAUUUUUCAAUUUGAAUGCAUUGAUGUGAAAUUAAGGGACCACUAAACAAUGUUGAUGCGAGUUUAGGCAAAAUUGGUGGAUCCCAUCUCCACAGCAAUUUCUUUAUGGAAGUACUUGCUUUCACACUGCAAACUUGGAUAGUUUGUGGUGGACGAUGAUGAAUCAUUUCACAAUCAAACACACCAUUUUUAAACACAUAUAUUGAAAUCAUUAUUAAAAUUAUAAUCAAAAUUAAUACAAGUUCUUUUUAUUAGCUUAAGGGCGUAAAAACUCUUCAAAAUUUUCCAAAUAAAAAAUAAAAAAUUUAAGUCCCUCUUUUUUUUUUACACUCAAUUGAGUACUUAAACUUUUAAAAUGUAUCAAAAAUAUCUUAACACUUCUUCAAAAAAAGCAAUUAAACCCCCUUUUUUUUCCGCUCAAUUGGGUACUUGAAUUUUCAUAAUGCAUCAAAAAUACCUUAAUUUUUUUUUCAAAGAAACAAUUAAGCCUCUAUUUUUUUCCUACUCAACUAGGUACUUGAACUGUCAAAAAAACAAUUAAGCACCUACUCUUAUUAAAAAUUAGAAAAAAAAUCAUAAAAAUAAGAAAAAUUUAGAAAAAAUUAUUAAAUUUUAAUAAAAAUUUAAAAACUUAUUAAAAAUUAGAAAAAAUUUUAGAAAAAUUGUCAAAAAAUAAAAAAUUAUAAAAUUUUAUAAUUAAGCACUCUUAAAAUUUUGAAAAUUCUCAUUAAUCUCACACAAAUUUAAAAUUUUUUAUUAGACCCCCAAUUUUUUUUAAAAAUGUUAUUAAACCCUUAAAUUUUUAGAAAAUUUUACCUGCCCCCUCCCAAAAAAAAAACUAGUCCCAACUCUUAGGAUCCGCCAUUGGUACUUGGUAUUAACACUAUUAGAAAAUUGCUAAAUCAACCAAUGAAAAUUUGACACAUGGAACCCUUUUUUUAAAUUAUCAAGUUACGGAUGUUCUUCAAGGGCAUGGAACUCAACUUGAAAAUUUUACUAAUUUGGUUGCAAAAAACAUUGAGGAAGCAUAUAAUGAUCUAACCCUUUUUUGUUUUGUUCUGUUUUUAAUUUGUUAUGGGAUUCUAUUGAAUGAUAAUUUUUUUUAUUUCCCAUACUUGGUUCUUCAACAACAACAUAUUCGAGAUUUUAUUUUUCUAGAAUUUUUAUAUAAAAGUUUGUAUUUUUUAAAAUAAUUUUGAGUUUUUUAUAAUUUUUAUAUAGAAUCGAGGUAAAUUGGCAAAAAAUUAUAAAAAACAAAAUACUAAAAUUGUUUAGUUAAGUGACCAAAGCGAAGAUCUACCCAUAGUUCAGUGGCUAAUUAUGUAGUUUACCCUUUCAUAAUUAAAAAAAUAGUUGUUCAGUUUUUCUUGUAUUAGAUAACAUUUUAGAUGGUAAAAACCCUCUUUAGUCCCUCUCAAUUUUGAUAUUAAGUAAAUUGGUCCAUUUUUUUUUAAAAAAAUCAAAGCAAUUUAAUCUUUGUUAAUUUCGAAAGUGAGCAACUAAGGACAAUUAAUCACAAUGUCAAUAUUUUCCAUCAAUUGUACAUAUUUUUAUUGGUAUAAUAACAAAUUUAGCUCUCCAAGUUUACACAUUCUAUCAAUUUGUUUUGAUUUAACAAAUUUAGCCCGCAACAGUUACAUAUUCUAUUAACAUUUACACAUAAUAUAUAAACAUCGAGAGCUUAAUUUGUUAUUAUAUAAAUAAAAUUAUGUACAAUUUACAGAAAGCAUUAACACAAUAAUUAAUUGUCCUUAGUUGCUCCAUUUCAAAAUUGAUAAUGAUUAAAUUGCUCUAAUUUUCUGAGAGAAACCAAUUUCUUCAAUAUAGAAAUUGAGAGGGACGAGAAAUGUGUUUUUAUCCAUUUUAGAUACUAACAAGUGUUUGGCGUAGUGGCAAGGCAUAUUACAUUCUCAAGGAGAGAAUGCGUAUUCAAACGUUGGAGAUAAUAAUAUUGUGUGGGGUAUCCACGGAUCUCGAACACAGACUGUAAAACAUAUAUAAAAAAUAAAAAGAAUAACAUCUUAAUUUAAAUAAUUAAUAAAUUUUAAUUUCAAAAAAGUAUUUUGAGAAACAUAGGUUUUAGUAAAUAGUAAAAUUGAAUCGAUAAAACAUGUCCAGUAUAUCAGAAUCAUAAAAAUACAACUUAAUUAAUUUGAAUUUAAACUUAACUCGACUCAAUUUGAUUAUAAAAAACUGAUAAUUUGAAUCCAAAAUGACAUGAUCUUGAAAUGAUUUGAAUUAAUUGUCAAACCCAAACGACAAAACUCGAAAUGAUGCAAUCCAAAAACACAAGUCAAAUGAACUAAACUAUGAAAGAAAAAAAAAACCUUACACCGACUCAAAUCCAAAAUAAUUUAAUCCUAAAAUAACCCAAAUUUUAUAUAAUAUAAACUCGAAAUAACCCGAUAAUUUUUUUCAGUCUUACUGUGUUUAUCUUUAUAAGUAUUCUUGUUUUCCUUGCCCAUACAUGUAUUGUAGUUAUCAAAAAAUAUAUUCUACUUUGGAUUUUAUUUAUAUUAAAUUUUAGGUUAAAUUCCGCUAUUACUCUCUGUACUUUAUGAAAAUGAUGGAUUUAAUCAUUGUACGUUAAUUUAAUCAAUUUUAGUCUUUGUAUUUUUUGAAUUGGUCAAUUUUAAACCAUUUACUUUUUGAAUUUUGAAAUUUUAGUCUUGAUUCAAAUAAUAUUAAUAAUAAUAAAAUCUGCUUAUUUAAAUUUAAUUAUUAGUUUUGUACUAUGUAGACAAUUAUAGAUUUAAUCCAUAUUUUUCAAUUGGGUCAUUCCAAGUCUUUAUACUUUUCAAAUUUUAAAAUUUCAAUAUUGAUGCAGAAUGCGAGUUGCUAUUAAUUAAUUGAUUUUUUUAGCCAAUGCAUGUAGAAAUAAUAAGUUGUUAUGUCAUUAUACUUAAAAUAAUAUAUUGGUUUAACCCGCUUAAAUUAUGUCUUUUUUUCCAUCUUGGGACCUAAAUUUUUUUGGGGUCAUAAGUGGUACCUAAACUACUUUUUUUUCUCCUUCAAAUUAGGGCUCCUUUGGAUCACCAGCAAGUUUCAGUGUGGUGAGAUUUAAAGAGUAAAAAAAAUUUGAACUGAAACGCAGCUCUAUUUGGGGUGUUUGGCAAGCACACCAGUAAGCAUUUUUCACCUCACUGUAACCCAAAAUAUUGGCUGGAGUUAAAAGCUUCAGUGGACUGAUUUGGAAGUCCAAAAAUAAGAGUAAUUAUUAUUUUACCCCUCCAAUUCUUCCUUUAUUAUUUAUUUUAUUUAAAACAGAUAACAUAAGUUUAAUAUGUCAUUAUUUAAUAUUAUUUAAUUUACAAUAAAAUUAUAAUUUUUAUUUAUAAAUUUAGUAUAAAUACAAUUUAAUUUAUAUUUUAUUAUUUGAUUCAAAUAUAAUCUGUAAAAAUAUUUUGAUAUUUUAUUAUGAAUAUAAUUUAAAAAUAUUUUAUUGUAUAUUUAAAAUAUUUUGAUAUUUUAUUAUGAAUAUAAUCUGUAAAAUAUUUUGAUAUUUUUGAAUUUUUCUCUAGUUUUAAUUUAUUUUUAAUUAUUUAUUAUUAAAAAUAAAUAUAAUUGUAAUAAUUUUUAAUUAUUUAUUAAUUUUGUAAUUGUUAAAUAAUUUUAAAAACUUCUAUUAUAUAUAUUUUUAAUCUAAUGUCCUUAAAAGUCAUUUUCUAUUUUCACCUCACCGCUACAACUGCGUUUGAAUCCAAACACACACUCCACCGCUGUUUCUAAUCUCACCGCUACAGUAUCCAAUCUCACCGCUACAGUACCUAAUCUCACCGCCACCGCUGUUUUUAACCUUACCGGAACUAAACACACCGCCCAUCCAAACCCACCCUUAGUAUAUUCAUUAGUUAAACUGUUAAGUCUAUUUAAAAAAGAAAGACUCGGACAACAAAUUAAUACUUAAACAAUGCUCUUUUUCCCAAGGUACCUAAUUUUUAUUUUGGCCAUGAGUAUUACUAAAACUAUUAUUCCAUUACUCAUUUUACACCAAAAUGUUAUAUCGGCUGAAAAGAUUCCAACAAAUAAUAGAUUGUAUGUCAUAUAAACUUUUAAAAAUAAUUAUUAAUUAAUUUUUUUCAUAUAAACUGAACGGUUUGACUAAUGACGGAGGUACCAAAUUAUAGUCUAGGUACCAAUUUAUGGGUUAAGCCUAUUUCUAAAAUAGACUUUUGACUAAUGGCGGUAGUAACUUGGGAAAAAAAAGUAGUUUAUGUACCACUUGUGAACAAAAAUAAGUUUAGGUACCAACAUCGUAAAAUGAGUAUAAUUUAGAUACCGAUUUAUGAGUUAAGCCUAAUAUAUUUGUUGCAUCAUUUUUUUGAAAAUAACAGAACUUAAUAAAUUUAACGGUUAUUUUUUGGUGAUGACUAAAAUUUUAAAAUUUGAAAAGUACAUGAACUAAAAAUGACCAAAUUAAAGUAUAAAGAUUAAGUCCACAACUUUUACAAAGUACAAGGAGUAAUAGCAGAAAUUAACCUAAAUUUCAUAUGGGUCACUUACAAAAAUAAUCACUAAACUAUUCCUUUGGUUCUAUUCUAGUCACUCAACUAUAAAGGUGCUCAUGAGCCGGGCCAGGUCAGGCCUAAGCAUGAUAUUAACGUACCUUAUGCUUGCUCAAGCUUGGCUCGGCCCGAAAUAUGAGCUUAAAAUUUCGCCUAAACUCAUCCAUAUUUGCAAAAGACUAACCUAAGCUCAUUUUAGGCAUGCCCAUAUAAUUUUUAGUUUUUUUUUAAUAUUUAUAUUAUAUUAUAUUAAUAAUUAAUAAUUUAAACUUUUUUUAUUUAUUGAAACUUUUUAUAUAGUCAUUUUAACAUUAUUUUAAUGUUUACAUUAUAGUAUUAUUAUAUAUUUAGUAUAAGUUUAUUUUGUUAAUCUAUUCUAAACUAUAUAAUAUAAAGUAUCAUACACUUAAAAAUAGGCCGAGCUGGGCUUGAGCUUUGAAUGUUCAAGCCUGAACUCAGCCCAAAUUUUAAACGGGCCUAAUUUUUUUACCCAAACCCAAUUUUUGGGCCUAAUAUUUUUAUCCAGACCCUCCCAAAUUUUGGGCAGCCCUUGGGCCUUGGCAAGUAGCCCAACUCAUUAACAAGUUUACUCAACUAUUAAUUUUUUCGAUUUAGUUGUUAACCUUUUCGAAAGUAAAUAUUUUAGUCACUCUCCUGUUAGGUGUUGUUAAAUGAGUGAUGGAAAGCUAAUGUGGGCUUUUUUUAUUAGUCUAAAAACAAAUUUUGCCCUCUAAUGUUUACACUUCUAUCAAUUUGAUCCUAGAUAUAAAAAAAAAUCAAAAAAUUUAGCCCUGAAUAUUAUCAAAAAUUAGCGAUUUAGUUCUAAUUCUAAAAAUUUUAAUAUAUACAUAUAUUUAAAAAAAUAUUUUUAAUCCUCUGUCUCACCCUUUGAUUUUUUUAGAGAUAUUCAAAAAUUAAAAUAUAUCAUUAUGUCUUUUCGUUUUAAUGCUAAAAGAGAUAAAAAAAAUAGAAAGCUAAAAUGACUUUUCAUUUGUAAAGUUAAAAAAUACUAAAUAAAUCAUUAUAUCUUUUUAGUUUUAAUUUUUUACUUGAUUAAAAGAGAAAUAAUUAACGAAUGAAAAAUAAUUAUUCCCAAAUAAAUUUAUAAGAAAUGAGAUUUUGCUAAAAGAAAAAGCAUGUAAAAGUAUACACGUUCUUAUGAAAUACAAAGAUUUUGCUAAAAGAAAAAGUAUCCAAUUUUAAGAAUGAAAAAUAUAUGGUAAAAGGAAGACUAAGUGGUUGUUGAAAAAUACAAAAAUUUUGAAAAUCUAAUAUCCAUAACUUUUCAAUGUAAAAGAAAAAAAUGACUGUAACACCAAUGUUGUGGUAUUAUUUGUUGCCUAUAAGUACCAUUCCUAUCCUUCAUCUUCCUCUACCAACAUAACAUGGCCUCCUAUCUCUUUCUGUCCCUGUUCCUCUUCUUUCCCCAUCUUUAUGCUUCUUUUUCUUCUUCAGGAUCUCACUCCUGCUCUUCACUAAUCCAGUUCAAGAACUCUUUUUCCAUCACAGAGUAUGCUUCUUAUCAUUGCAAUGAGAUUGCUGGCCUUCAAUCUUAUCCCAAGACAAAUUCAUGGAAGGAGGGUACAGAUUGCUGCUCAUGGGAUGGGGUCACUUGUGACCACCUAAAUGCUCAUGUUAUUGCCCUUGACUUGAGCUGCAGUUGGCUAUAUGGCAACUUCCCUUCCAAUUCCACUCUCUUCCUUCUUCCUCACCUUCAAAAACUCAACCUUGCCUACAAUCAUUUUAAUCGUUCCAAAAUGCCAUCCGAGUUCGGUCGGUUUACAAGCCUACUCUACCUCGACCUUUCCAGUACAGGGUUUGCAGGAGAAGUCCCAUCCCAAGUCUCCCACUUGUCAAAAUUGGUUUCACUUAAUCUUUCUUGGAUUGGACAACAAUUAACAAUUGACAAACAUGCUCUGGAGGGACUUGUUCACAACCUAACCGAGGUCAGGUAUCUGUUUUUGGAUGGAAUCAACAUGGCUUCUGUUAAUGCUCAAGUCUUUAUGAAUCUAUCCUCUUCUCUAAGGUCUCUCAGUCUUUCUGGUUGUGAUUUGCAAGGAAAAUUCCCAAAAAACAUUUUUGAUUUGCCAAACCUCAAUCUCCUCAACUUUGGAGACAACCAAUUGAGUGGACAAAUUCCAAGAUUAUUGGGGAACCUCUUGCAACUCACUUCUUUAGACUUGUCGUUGAACCAAUUGAGUGGACAAAU
rnacentral:lncRNA from 1 species